rnacentral:rRNA from 1 species
AACGCGUAAAGAACUUGCCUCACAGCUAGGGACAACAUUUGGAAACGAAUGCUAAUACCUAAUAUUAUGAUAAUAGGGCAUCCUAUAAUUAUGAAAGCUAUAAGCGCUGUGAGAGAGCUUUGCGUCCCAUUAGCUAGUUGGAGAGGUAACGGCUCACCAAGGCGAUGAUGGGUAGCCGGCCUGAGAGGGUGACCGGCCACAUUGGGACUGAGAUACGGCCCAG